CGACUGUUUGUCUUUCAAGUCGGCGUCGCCUUUUUCCAGUUACAGUGGAAGGUUCCCAAAUCCCUUUAGCGUGUACACCUCACAUCAGGUUACACGCCGCCUGCAGCUUUCUGCUCCACACACGCAAUUACUCCUUAAUAUUGCAUAUGAAAGAGAUAUUUUUGCCGAACUGUGCUGGAGUAAGAUGCACGGCAGAAAAUGAAGACGGGGGUGGGAAUCACGGAAUCCCCGCUAUUACUGGAGAAUGGGUCCGGCCGGGGACGAGAGAACAAACCAAAAAGCCCCAUUCUGGUGCUUUGAUUCAAGUAAAUGAAGAGAACAUCUUCCCGAAAGCAAACAGAUUGCCGGGCCCGUCGGAGCAGAAUUAGAUUCUUGUCUUCUCAGAUGAACGCCGCAUCCUCUACACGAUGACAGGAAAAUGGGGAAUAUCAAUUCAGGGUGAACUGAUACAAGUUAGUAUCCCUGCUGUCCAGCUCUUCCUCGGGGACACACUGGGUCUCUUCAUCUCCCGCUCUCGAUGAGGAGAGCUGUAAACCCGAAACCGUGGCGCCAGUAUUCUACGUUAAGUGUCCCCAGGCCUCCCAAAUCCCAUAACAGAUGUCAGAGGGAAACAAACUAUUCACUCACACGGACAGCUUUAUCUUUCCCGAUCGCAACCUGUCAAAAAAAAAAAAGCCGAUACUAU
ensembl:lncRNA